CCUACGGGAGGCAGCAGUGAGGAAUAUUGGUCAAUGGGCGCAAGCCUGAACCAGCCAUGCCGCGUGCAGGAUGACGGUCCUAUGGAUCGUAAACUGCUUUUAUACAGGAAGAAACCCUCCCACGUGUGGGAGCUUGACGGUACUGUAGGAAUAAGGAUCGGCUAACUCCGUGCCAGCAGCCGCGGUAAU
rnacentral:rRNA from 1 species